CCCACAGCCUUCUCUCCAUUUCCCCCCAAACGGCACUUCCUGAGAGCCCCCAGGCUGGUCGAAUUCGAGCUCGAAGGUCCGCAGCACCGUCGCGGUAAAUCGUCGAUUGCUGUGAGCACGGUCCACCUUUUGAUCUAUAGUUUCUUCCAAACAUCUUAUUUCUUCCUUACGCACAUCUCAGGCUUUGUUUCGUGAUUUUUGGUGCACCACAGCGACGGCGCCAUCUUCGUUUGUGAGCACGUCCACAGGACAGUUUUCCGACGAGCGAUUUCCGGCGAAAUAGUCCACCUCGACGUCCGCCACUUCUUCAUCGAAUUCGUCUUGUCAAACAGAGCGCCGUGGUUUGCUUCACCAUCGGCAGAGAUCUUCGAGGAAGCUCCACGGACAACUACACCUAGCUGUCUCUGUUCCCGUGGAUUGUGGUUGUGCUGAUUGCAACGAGUGUUUCUGCGAAGAGUGUACCAACUCCUCCUCUCACCAAUGCAAGUGACACACACCAAAAGUACCAAUUUUAGUUCUUGCACCGUAGUGUUUUUUAUAGUAGACAUGUCUAGGGUUUAUGUUUUUUGCGUGCUAUUAAAUCCUAGUAGUUUAGCUACACCACUCCUAGACUCCCUUAGCCACCAUUAACUUUAGUUGUUACCUGCUAUGACAUGGAAAAAGGUUUUGAUAGAGGUUAAGGAAAAAAACUAAGUUUAAUGAAUUAUCUGGGUGAAUGGUGGAGUUAUGGAGAGGAUGACUGUAUCAGGGGGCAAGACCCUGGUGCUAGUACACACUUGCGAAAAGUCACCCAGGCUUAAAGAGAUUGUAGACAAAUCUUGCUCAUUAGCUUCACGUACAACCACAUGCUACUAUGGCUCUGGAUUGAUAAAGUAUGUUGUAUGAACCCGGAUCCUAGGGGCCAGGUGGUGGUAGAGGGAUAUUGUAGGUGGAACGGGGCCUUAGGGAAUGGUUCGGGUGAUUACACACAGAAGGUCUCGGCCACGGUCUACACCUGUCCUCUAGCAAAAUGUGCAUCGAGGUAGAAGGAUUGACCUGGCCAUGUGGGUAAAGGUGUACAACUUCUCGAGAGUAAAAUCUAAGUACUUAGCCGAGUCCCCGGUUAUGGACAACUUGAGCGAACCGACAAGUCACUUGUUCGAAGAUCUCCUCAUCCCAAUUUCUUAAAUAAAAAUUUGGUGGGUGAACAAGGGUAGGAAGGUACAUUGGGGCUUUACCAAUGCUACUGUUAAUUUGGUACAUUGGGGUUUUACCAAUGUUACUGCUAAUUAGAUUGAAAGAAAAUGUUUUGAUAAAUGAUAGGGAAAAUUUGGCUUUAUGCAAAAUGAACCUGAGCUCUACCUGCCAGAUGUGCAAGUAGGUGUAGGAUGCCAUUUGAGUCCACAAAAGUGUCCUUGCCAAUACAAUUCCAAAUGUAUUGAUUCCUUCAGGCUGCAACGUUUGAUGUUGCUGGUAUCCCUAGCUGCUAAAGAAGAUGUUAGGAUCACGAGUCUUUGCCCAACAUGUUUGCCUGUGGCAUCCGUGAAGGAAGAGGACUCCAUGCUAUUUGCUUUCCGCUUGAUGUUGAACUCCGAUUUAUGUUUAUGCUAGCCUUGUGCUAUGCAAUUUGUAAUCCUUUAUGUAAAUUCUGGAUCAUUCGAUGUAAUAAAGACCAUUGUUUCUUGGUAUUA